rnacentral:rRNA from 1 species
AUUGAACGCUGGCGGCAUGCUUUACACAUGCAAGCCGGACGAGUGGCGCACGGGUGAGUAACGCGUCGGCACGUACCGAGUAAUGGGGGAUACCUGCCCGAAAGGACAGCUAAUACCGCCUAUUAUUCGAUCGGCCGAUGUCUGAUUAGCUGGUUGGCGGGGUAAAGGCGCACCAAGGCGACGAUCAGUAGCGGGUCUGAGAGUAUGCUCCGCCACACUGGGACUGAGACACGGCCCAGACUCCUACGGGAGGCAGCAGUGGGGAAUUUUGGACAAUGGGCGCAAGCCUGAUCCAGCCAUGUCGCGUGUUUGAAGAAGGCCUUCGGGUUGUAAAGGACUUUUGUCAGGGAAGCGGUACCUGAAGAAUAAGCACCGGCUAACUACGUGCCAGCCGCCGCGGUAAUUC